AUUGAACGCUGGCGGCAGGCCUAACACCUGCAAGUCGAACGAGUGGCGGACGGGUGAGUAAUGUCUGGGAAACUGCCCGAUGGCAGGGGAUACCUACUGGAAACGGUAGCUAAUACCGCAUACCAUCCGAUUUGCCCAGAUGGGCUUAGCUAGUAGGUGGGGUAACGGCUCACCUAGGCGACGCGCCCUAGCUGGUCUGAGAGGAUGACCAGCAAAACUGGAACGGAGAAACGGUCCAGAGUCCUACGGGAGGCAGCAGUGGGGAAGAGUGCAAAAUGGGCGCAAGCCUGAGGCAGCCAGGCCGCGUGGAUGAAGAAGGCCUUCGGGUUGGAAAGUACUUUCAGCGAGGAGGCGUUACUCGCAGAAGAAGCACCGGCUAACUCCGAGCCAGCAGCCGCGGUAAUAC
rnacentral:rRNA from 1 species